rnacentral:misc_RNA from 1 species
CAAGAGAAGCAGCAUCCACGACUGCCACUACACCAGCAGUGACGCUAGCAAUGACGCAGCCACUGCCACCGGCACGCGAGAAGGCCAUCACAAGGCUGCCUCAGUACUUUCCCACGUCGUGCAAGCAGUGCGCGACGCAGACAGACACCUUCUUCCGUUGCUUCGAGGCGCAUGCAGUCAUGAUGGAUGGCCAUGAUGUGACGACGGCCAAGACGUCGCUACAGCACUGCCAGACAGAGCUGCGGGAGUACAUGACCUGCAUGGAGAAGUACUUGGCAGCGAAGAAUAAGCAUUGGUGGAAAGUGUGGUAGCGUGCCGAUGAAGGAAAGCGUGUCGCCUCCACGCAGCAGUGCAGGACGGGCAGGGCAGCACUUUCUCUCACACACAUACACACACACACCACCACGACCGCCGCCCCUUUCCCCGUGGCUACCCUCCCACUGAGCGGUGCACUCCCCUAUGCUGCCGCGCCGGUAUCGAGUAGAACGAGGCAAGCCUCUUUUGCACUACACACAGACACAGUGAAAGCCGGGAGCACGGUAAGAGCACAAACCGCAUCGCUUGAUAGCGCCCACGGCGCUGCCGAGUCGCUCGAUUCCGUCGAAAAGUUGACCUGAUCGGCCUUCUUGUGCACGUUGCAGCUCUCAGAGAGAGAGACGUGCGCACGGAGUUCACUCUCGGUUGCACGUAUGGCGUGUGGUAUCCCUUUCUCGUGCACUGCCCCUCUCCUUCCCCCUCGUCCUGCUGGCGAUGCACGGACGCGCACGCUCACGCGUGUAGGCGCACAGACACGUCCGUGUGACUGUUUUGUCUUUCAUGCUCUCCCUCUCCAUCUCUUGUUUGGCGCGCCUGACGACUCCUUCGCCCUCUCCAUCCCCUCCCCUCCCCUACCCCUCCUCCUGUGUGAUCGGUAUGGGCUGUGUGCGCAUACGCACAG